CCGGGGAGGCGCGAGCCGUCUCUUGUAGUUCCCCUCCUCGGUGUGUGAAGUCCUGCGGCUACUCCAGGCUAGAACCACCGCGGGUCUAGGCGGAGCCCGAGAUCGGCGCGGGAUACCCUGGAGACGGGCAGGUUAAGGACUGACCGAAGACUCCGCCCGCCCCUGGCGCAAGGAGAGCGGGACCCUUGGGCCGCUGAGUCCUUAGCGUCCUGCGUCCCCUGCCCUGCCUCUGGCCUGCGGCGUUAAAAAAAAAUGGUUGGGAGGAUGGAAAUUAAGAUUAAAUAGGUUUCUCUGCGGAUCCAGUGCCGUUAAACCCUGAGAACCCACACUUUUUUUAAAAAUGAAGAAAUUAAGGCUUAAGGAGCUAGAGAGUCGCCUGCAACAAGUGGAUGGAUUUGAAAAGCCCAAGCUACUUCUAGAACAGUAUCCGACCAGGCCGCACAUUGCAGCAUGUAUGCUCUAUACAAUUCACAAUACAUAUGAUGACAUUGAAAAUAAAGUGGUUGCAGAUCUAGGAUGCGGUUGUGGAGUGCUUAGCAUCGGAACUGCAAUGUUAGGAGCAGGGUUAUGUGUUGGAUUUGACAUAGAUGAAGAUGCAUUGGAAAUAUUUAAUAAGAAUGUGGAAGAAUUUGAGUUAACAAAUGUUGACAUGGUUCAAUGUGAUGUGUGCUUAUUAUCUAACAGACUAUCCAAGUCAUUUGAUACAGUAAUUAUGAAUCCUCCCUUUGGGACCAAAAAUAAUAAAGGGACAGAUAUGGCAUUUCUGAAGACUGCUUUGGAAAUGGCAAGAACAGCAGUAUAUUCUCUCCACAAAUCCUCAACUAGAGAGCACAUUCAAAAGAAAGCUGAAGAAUGGAAAAUCAAGAUAGAUGUUAUUGCAGGAGAUAUAGUCAUCCACACUGUGUCAUGCUUGAUUCAUUUUUAUUAGUGAAUUUACAAACAUCAAAAUGGGGAAAGCAUACAACUAGAAGCUAACUAAUCCAAAUAAUUCUGAAAAGCCUGAAAUAAGAGUACGUACAUACAAUAAGGGGGAAAUGUGUUUUACACAAUAAACUAUGGAUUAGCACUAUGGUGUUAACCACAUAACUAGAUCUUUUACUGUUCAUUAUAAUUAGUAAUGUGUAAAAGGUCAGUCUUCCUAUUAUAUUCAGUAGUGUCAUUCUUUACUUAAGGUAUUAUAUGCAACGUGUAGUACCCUAGAAUAGUUUAGUAGUAUACCAAACCAUGGCCUUGCUACUUCAAAUGUGGCCUUAGAUCAUCAGCAUUGACAUCCCUUGGAAAUGUUAGACUUGCAGAAUUUCAGGCUCCCCCCAUGCCUACUGAAUUAUCAUCUGCACCUCAACAAGAUUUGACUUGAAGGUGAUUCGACUGCACAUUAAAAUUUGAGACCUGUGACUCAGAAUUUAUGUUGUAAAAUAUGAAGAGUAGACAGACUCAUUGUCAUCCCUUUAAAAUGGUUAGUAGUAAGUUUGGAGAACCUACAUUAUUUAGAAUAUGAAAAAUAGGUUUUCAUUUGAGAGCUUAGUAGGAAAAGUAAUUAUCUACUUACUACCAUUACUAAAAUCGACGACAAAAUUUUUAAGUAAACAUAGUUAUGAAAUUGCUGGUUAUAGAUUAGGAAAUUAAAACUAGGAAGGUACUAUCAUUUUCAUACGAUAUACUUUUUUAUCCACUUGUUAUCUUUCUAAACUCUUCCCCAUAACCUCAAAUUUUGGUAUAAAAGAUCAAAACAGCAGAAAUGGCAGUCUCAGUUUGCCAUGGCUAAUCUUGGGAGUACAUCAAGUCAGCCCUUGAAUACCAAGUUAAAGUGACGGGUCUAAAAUGUUUGGUUUACCAGCAUUUAGUGCUUUCUUAAUUUGUGGUUUUUUUAGUCAAGGGUGGUAAAUGCUUGGAAAUGUAAUUUUUAUCUACUUAGACGGCUUUUGUUUUAUAGAGCUGCGAUAUGACCUGCCAGCAUCAUACAAAUUUCAUAAAAAGAAAUCAGUGGACAUUGAAGUAGACCUAAUUCGGUUUUCUUUUUAAAAGCUUCCAAAGAC